UGGGGAAUCUUGCGCAAUGGGGGAAACCCUGACGCAGCGACGCCGCGUGCGGGAUGAAGGCCUUCGGGUUGUAAACCGCUUUCAGCAGGGACGAGGCCUUAUGGUGACGGUACCUGCAGAAGAAGCUCCGGCUAAAUACGAGCCAGCAGCCGCGGUAAUACGUAUGGAGCAAGCGUUAUCCGGAUUCAUUGGGCGUAAAGCGCUCGUAGGCGGUCUGUUAGGUCGGCAAGUUAAAUCCGGGGGCUCAACCCCCGUCCGCUUCCGAUACCGGCAGACUUGAGUUUGGUAGGGGAAGGUGGAAUUCCUAGUGUAGCGGUGGAAUGCGCAGAUAUUAGGAAGAACACCGGUGGCGAAGGCGGCCUUCUGGGCCAUAACUGACGCUGAGGAGCGAAAGCUAGGGGAGCGAACAGG
rnacentral:rRNA from 1 species